GGUGUUGCAUGGCUGUCGUCAGCUCGUGUCGUGAGAUGUUGGGUUAAGUCCCGCAACGAGCGCAACCCUCAUCCUUAGUUACCAUCAGGUAAUGCUGGGGACUUUAGGGAAACUGCCAGUGAUAAACUGGAGGAAGGUGGGGAUGAUGUCAAGUCAUCAUGGCCCUUAUGGAGUGGGCUACACACGUGCUACAAUGGUGGCUACAAUGGGCUGCAAAGUCGCGAGGCUAAGCUAAUCCCUUAAAAGCCAUCUCAGUUCGGAUUGUACUCUGCAACUCGAGUGCAUGAAGUUGGAAUCGCUAGUAAUCGUGGAUCAGCACGCCACGGUGGAUACGUUCCCGGGUCUUGUACACAC
rnacentral:rRNA from 1 species